rnacentral:rRNA from 1 species
UACGUAGGGUGCAAGCGUUGUCCGGAAUUAUUGGGCGUAAAGAGCUCGUAGGCGGCUUGUCGCGUCGGCUGUGAAAACCCGGGGCUCAACCCCGGGCCUGCAGUCGAUACGGGCAGGCUAGAGUCCGGCAGGGGAGACUGGAAUUCCUGGUGUAGCGGUGAGAUGCGCAGAUAUCAGGAGGAACACCGGUGGCGAAGGCGGGUCUCUGGGCCGGAACUGACGCUGAGGAGCGAAAGCGUGGGGAGCGAACAGG